AGCGAACGCUGGCGGCAGGCCUAACACAUGCAAGUCGAACGGCUCUUCGGAGCAGUGGCGGACGGGUGAGUAACGCGUGGGAACGUGCCCUUUGGUUCGGAACAACACAGGGAAACUUGUGCUAAUACCGGAUGAGCCCUUUGGGGGAAAGAUUUAUCGCCAUUGGAGCGGCCCGCGUUGGAUUAGGUAGUUGGUGGGGUAAAGGCCCACCAAGCCGGCGAUCCAUAGCUGGUCUGAGAGGAUGAUCAGCCACACUGGGACUGAGACACGGCCCAGACUCCUACGGGAGGCAGCAGUGGGGAAUCUUGCGCAAUGGGCGAAAGCCUGACGCAGCCAUGCCGCGUGAAUGAUGAAGGUCUUAGGAUUGUAAAAUUCUUUCACCGGGGAAGAUAAUGACGGUACCCGGAGAAGAAGCCCCGGCUAACUUCGUGCCAGCCGCCGCAGUAAAAC
rnacentral:rRNA from 1 species